GUGGGGAAUCUUGCGCAAUGGGCGAAAGCCUGACGCAACCAUGCCGCGUGAAUGAUGAAGGUCUUAGGAUUGUAAAAUUCUUUCACCGGGGACGAUAAUGACGGUACCCGGAGAAGAAGCUCCGGCUAACUUCGUGCCAGCAGCCGCGGUAAUACGAAGGGGGCUAGCGUUGCUCGGAAUUACUGGGCGUAAAGGGCGCGUAGGCGGACAGCUUAGUCAGAGGUGAAAGCCCAGGGCUCAACCUUGGAAUUGCCUUGGAUACUGGCUGUCUUGAGUUUGGGAGAGGUGAGUGGAACUCCGAGUGUAGAGGUGAAAUUCGUAGAUAUUCGGAAGAACACCAGUGGCGAAGGCGACUCACUGGCCCGUUACUGACGCUGAGGCGCGAAAGCGUGGGGAGCAAACAGGAUUAGAUACCCGUGUAGUCC
rnacentral:rRNA from 1 species